UACAGAGGUCUCGAGCGUUGUUCGGAUUCAUUGGGCGUAAAGGGCGCGUAGGCGGCGGGGUAAGUCUGGUGUGAAAUCUAGGAGCUCAACUCCUAAACUGCACUGGAUACUGCUCUGCUGGAGGACUGGAGAGGAGACUGGAAUUCACGGUGUAGCAGUGAAAUGCGUAGAUAUCGUAAGGAAGACCAGUGGCGAAGGCGGGUCUCUGGACAGUUCCUGACGCUGAGGCACGAAGGUCAGGGGAGCAAACGGG
rnacentral:rRNA from 1 species